UGAGGAUCUUCUUUUUAACUUCAAAGAUAGAACAGAAACAUUCCCAUAAUUUUUUCCACUUGAGUGGGGAUAGAAAUUCAACUCCCAACUUUUUCAUUUUUUCUUGCCUUUUCUUCCCCCCUAGACCCUAUUAAUAGAUAGCAGUUCCCUCGUUCAGCCAUAAGCUUCAGCCACCCCUUCUUCCUCUCUCCGUCUUCCCUUCUCGAUCUUCUUGUUUCACCUCUCUCCUUCUUUUUGCUACUUUUCCCUUUUCUAUUUUCUUCCCGAGUCAGUUCGAAUUUGCGACCAAACCCAGCAGCCGCUCCCUCGUUCAGCUAGAAGCUCCUCUCCAUCUUCUUGCUUCUUCCCUCUACUUUCCACAAUCUACAUUGAUUUCAAGAAGGGACGAUUUGAAAUCGUCUCCCUUUCUGGUUCUUUCCUGCUCUCAGAGAGUGGUGGUCAUCGCAGUAGAACAGGUGGAUUGAGCGUGUCCCUAGCUGGUCCAAACGGUUGUGUUUUAGGUGGUGGUGUGGCUAGACUUCUAACAGCAGCCUCUCUGUUCAGGUCUGCUUUCAUCCUAUGUCUAAAUUGAUGAGUUGAGCACUCCUUGUCCUAUCCUGUUUCAUUAUCCUUGUUCGAAUCUCUAAAUUAAGAGACUGGAAGGCUUCUUUUGUUCGACCAUAUUGUGACACCCUCUUCAUUAUGGGAGACCUCUUGGUUUCUGGAUCAUAUUGCCCCACCAUCCCCUUAAUUAGCCACAUAGACAGUGGCCUUUCUGGAGAGAGGCCAGAAAGAGACAAUUCAGGGAUUGGUUGUUUUCGGUGUAACCUAGGGUGGUGUAGUGUAUCGGAGGAUCAUGAUCCUGUCCAAUUCUUUCAAGGUGCAAUUAGGUGUAAUUCCCUUCUAAUCUGGUGACAUGUGUCCCUGCCGUCUUGAUGGUCAAGAUCAGGUGAGAGAAAGCUGACGACAUUAUGUAUAUGGUUAUGGAUCUGCAAAUGCCCAACCCGAUCCAGCAUCGGUUCCAGCUGCUAUCUUCUCCCUCCAUCUAAGGCUAUUGAGCCUCUGCUGGUCUGUUCCCUUCUCUUCUCCUUUUCUGUUCCCAGUUGAUUUCUAACACACAAAAAAAAGUUCUCAGUUGAUUGCAGCGGCGAAGGAAUUUUCUCAAGAAGAGAGCAAAUAUUGGAACGGUGGAUGGAAUAAGAAAAGCAGUGAAGGCACGUUAGAGAUUUGUGUAUGUGAGCGAAGAGAGCAGUGAGGAUAUCUCCAUUUCCAUUGCCGUUCCUGUUUUUGUUUCCGUUCCCGUUCUAUGUAAACUGAUUUGUCCUGACACCACUACCCCUCUUUUUUGCCGGUUCCAAAUUUCGGACAAUCAACUUCCGACUACCCAUUCCCAGGCAAAAGAAGCUGUAAAAAUAUAGAUGAGAGGAGAGAAGAAGGGAAAUCUGAACAAACGAAACCCUAUGAAGGAGAAAAGAAAAUUCUUGAAGUUUAAGGAACUUCUGAGCUCUAUUCUUCUGUCUCUUGUCCUCCUCUCUCUCUCUCUCUCUCUCUGGGGCGAUCACUCAUUUGAUCGUCCACAUGUUAAAAUUUAUCUGUCCCGAUCCGAGGGCAUCUCCGCCAAAGCAAACAGCAGCCUAUUUGCAAUUUUCUUAUUUAUAUAUAAUUUUCCUUUUUCAUUUAUUGUUGCACUUGCUUGCAUUGCACCGUUAGAAUCAAUAACAUCUUUUUCUUUUUUCAAAAG